CAUUUCCAGCUAAUUCAAGCACCUGAGAGGACACAACGAGAGUUAAAGCCAUAAAACACAUAUGGAGAACACUAAUUUAUCUCAAAGAAGACUGAUAAUACCAACUCCCCAUGAAAGAACCUAAUUUCGGCUGCACACAGGCUUAGUUUAAAAAAAAUUAAAUAAAUGAAUAAAAAUUGCAAAACCACUGUUAGUAAAUUCAAAAUCGGAAUUUGAGAUUUGCAAAGAGUAACUUCCAAAGUUUUAAAUCCAAUUUUACCAAAGAUAAACACACAAAAAAUAAUAAAACCUAGACCUAUAAUCACAUAAUACAACAGUGCAAACCCUAAUUUCCAAAAAUUUAAAAAAAAAAAAGGGAAAGCAUAAAACUUUAUGAAAAAGGAAAUCAUACAACCAAAACAACUUGAAAUUCAAUAAUUCACAAUAAUAAAUCUCAUAAGAAAUCCUGCCAUAAUACACCUACAUCAAAUUAAAUUUCUACAACCAGAAAAAUUAGCAAAAUCUCUGAAAAUACAGAUGGUUAUCGGCAAAUUCCGCACAAACAAACGAAAUUGAAAACAAAUUAUCAACCACAGAUGGAGAUGAAAUUCUCAAGAGAUCUAGAAAGUAUCAUACCUCAGCAGCGAGGUACUCGAGGACAGCAGAAAGAUAGACAGGAGCUCCAGCACCGACACGCUCUGCAUAUUUUCCGGCCUUGAGAAACCUGGCGAUCCUCCCAACGGGAAACUGCAACCCAGCCUUCUGCGACCGCGACACAGACUUCGACGCCUUGGGCUUUCCUCUUCCGCCCUUGGUCGAUCCACCAGUAGAACUCAUUGUCAAUAAUCCUUAAAAUAUCCCACAAAACCAAACCCUAAUUUGUUCUGAACACAGAGAGAGAAGCAAGGAUUAUGGAAGAUGCUUU
rnacentral:misc_RNA from 1 species